GGCCAUUCGUCAUCAGAACGAAAAUCGAAACUUAUAAGGUAAUCGCCUAAUUAAACAUCCACACGUCCACCACCCGCAGCGGCGUUACCCGUCGCGUGAGGGUCAACCUUUUCGGUGGUGCUAGAUUCAUGGCCAUUGCUGGGAGCAACUUCAGCAAUGACAUCCCCUGAGGUAAGUUGGGGCCUGGAGUCAAUUCGGUGAAGACGAAGCUCGGGAUCUGUGCCAACUAGUUGAAGAUUCAGUGGGAACGUUCAAGAAAAAGGUAGCGGACAAAAAAAAAAGAACUUGCCAUAGUCGUAGGCAAAUUCGCCGAGGUAAGCAUCGUCAAUACCGAUGAUUUCGGCCUCUUCGCUAGCCCUUAACCUCAAUCCGGGGAUGAAGUGAAGCAACCAACAGAUGAUAGUGGUCAUGACAAAGGUCCGGCCACAGAGCCUUGAGCGAAGAGACCGGUAAGGAAGCAACCUACCAUGCCGCCAAUACCAUGGGAAGCGAAGACAUCGAGAGUCUCAUCAACCCCAAUGAGGAAUUUGAGCUUGGUAGCAAAGUUACAGGCGAUGGCAGUAAUCGCACCGAUGGCAAGAGCAGCUGGGGAACCGACGAAGCCAGCAGCAGGGGUGAUACCGACCAAACCAGAGAUAGCGCCAGAACAGAAGCCAACAGCGGACCACUUGCGCUCAAGCCUGUAGUCCAAGCACAUCCAGACCAGACCACCAACAGAGGCAGAAAGGUUGGUGACGAUACAAGCCUGAACAGCCCUCAAGUUGGCGGAAAGAGCGGAACCACCAUUGAAGCCGAACCAACCGAACCAGAGGAAUACGGUGCCGAUGACAACGAAAGCAGUGUUGUGGGGCUUGUAGGCGAGCCGUUCAGUGCCGUAGCCUCUACGCUUGCCGAGGUACAAGGCGAUAGCAAGAGAGGCAGUACCAGAAGAGAUGUGAACGGGGGUACCACCAGCAAAGUCGAGACCGCCCAUGACAAAAGACCAGCCGUUGGGGUUCCAUGUCCAGCAAGCGAGUGGGCAAUAGACAAGGGUGAGCCAGCAGAAGAGGAAGACCAUAACGGGACCAAUACGAGAUCGUUCAGCGAAACCACCAAUGGCAAGGACACCAGUGAUGAGCUACAGUCUACACAGAAGAGAAGAGCAGGGAUUCGGUCAGAGCCGGCAGAAGGCUCGGCGAGAACUCCCUUCAGACCAAAAUAUCGCAAGUCGCCAAUGUAUCUGAUACACUUUCAGUCUUCAUUGUAAGAUAUUAUUGUGCCGCCAACUCACUUGGAACCAGUAUCAGAAAAUCGUAUCUCCUUUGCUUCCUCUUCGACAAAUUAAAAUAACUUACCCCAGAAGAACCACUGGAAAGACCCGACGGCAACGCCAGCCAUAGACAGGAAGAUCAUUGAUAAUGCAUUCUUCCGUCUUAACAGGCCAGAAUAAAAGAGACCAACACCGGGAACCAUGAUCCACACUAGGGCCAUGGCAGCGAUGACUAAAGGUGGCGUUAGCCAUUCGAGUGUUGAAAAUUGAGGAUGAUACGACUCACUGAAAGACAUAUCACCGAGAUUGUAGAGAUACUGAGUACCAUCAUCGGCGGUGUAAAUCAUAUCCGAAGACGAGUCUGUAUAGGUCACAUUGACCAUGUUGGAUGACAAUUGCUGCUGCUGUGGUGUGAGGUGGGAAAGCGGAAGAUCUAUAAUUGCCUAAAAAGUAAAGAAAAGGAAGAAAGAUGGAAAAGAGAAAACAGAAAUUGCAUUAGAAUAAGUAUUGCGCUGGGAGAACGAUAAAGGGGGAAGGAAUCGGAAGAUGAAAGAGAAAGGGCGGUAGAUACCACAACAAGACGACCGCCCCUCAUUGGCCAGUCAGUCCUUAUCUAUCCCCGCAUUGAAAGAACCCUCCCUGCCUCACCUGAGCUCCGGAUGCGGCUGGCAUUAACGCGUCUUAACAUUAUUACGUAUUGCAUUCGCUUCAGUCAACUGCAAAAUGCAAACGGCGAACGGACAGAAUAGGGAAAUUGCAAAACACGAAUGCACGAUUGAACACCAGACGCAGAGCAUGAAGAGAUUAGAAGAACCUGCACAAGAAAGAUACGCCAACACGCCAA
rnacentral:sRNA from 1 species